rnacentral:rRNA from 1 species
CCUACGCGUGGCAGCAGUGGGGGAUAUUGCACAAUGGGGGGAACCCUGAUGCAGCGACGCCGCGUGGGUGAAGGAGCGUUUCGGCGCGUAAAGCCCUAUCGGCAGGGAAGAAGAUGACGGUACCUGACCAAGAAGCCCCGGCUAACUACGUGCCAGCAGCCGCGGUAAUACGUAGGGGGCAAGCGUUAUCCGGAUUUACUGGGUGUAAAGGGGUCGCGGACGGAAAUGAAAGCAAGGAGUGAAAGCCCGGGUCGCAACCCCCGGACUGCUCUGGAAACGGUGCGGCUGGAGUGCAGGAGAGGUAAGUGGAAUUCCUAGUGUAGCGGUGAAAUGCGUAGAUAUUAGGAGGAACACCAGUGGCGAAGGCGGCUUACUGGACUGUAACUGACGUUGAGGCUCGAAAGCGUGGGGAGCAAACAGGAUUAGAUACCCGGGUAGUC